AUGGCUGCUCCUCCUAGCGCGUCCAUCCUCGUCGGCCCGGUCCCGUUCAAGGACGUCGUCGGCGACGACGACGACAACGGAGCCGCCCCACCGGACGAGUACGACGACAUCGUCUCCGCCCUGCCGACCAGCACAACGAUCGGCUUGCGUCACUACCACGGCGCCUGGGUCAGCGAGUGGAGGGUCCGGGGUGUCAUCUCCGCCCAGCGACGCUUCGUCCCGCGCCCCGGCGACAUGCUCCUGGGCAGCCCGCCCAAGUGCGGCACCACGUGGCUCAAGGCGCUGUCCUUCGCUGUCAUGGCGCGCGACGCGUACCCGCCCGCCGGCGCCGGGCACCCGCUCCGCCGCCUCAACCCGCACGACUGCGUCCCCUUCAUGGACGAGCUGUUCAGCGCCGGGCAGCAGGCCAAGCUGGACGCGCUGCCGUCGCCCAGGCUCAUGAACACGCACAUGCACCACUCCCUUCUCCCGGCCUCCGUCGCCGACAACCCCGCCUGCAAGAUCGUCUAUGUCUGCAGGGAGCCCAAGGACAUGGUGGUCUCGAUGUGGCACUUCCUCCGCGGCGCCUGGCGGUUCACCUUCGCUGAGCUAUUUGAGUGGGCUUGCGAGGGGAAGACGCCCAACGGGCCGGUAUGGGAGCACAUCCUCGGGUACUGGAGGGCGAGCAGGGCCGCGCCGGAGAGGGUCAUGUUCCUGAGGUACGAGGAGAUGCUCGCGGAUCCCAUCGGCCACGUCCGGGAGCUGGCGCGGUUCCUCGGGCGGCCCUUCUCGGCCGCCGACGAGGCGGCGGGGCUGCCGGCGAGCGUCGUGGAGCUGUGCAGCUUCGAAGCUCUGAGAGGCGUGAGCGCCCGGAGCGUGGGGUCUUGCAGCGGCUCGCGCGUCGAGUUCUCGCACCAGUCCUACUUCAGGAAAGGGGCGGUGGGGGACUGGACCAACCACAUGACGGCAGACAUGGCGCGCCGCUUCGACGCCAUUGUUGAGGACAAGCUCCGUGGGUCGGGUCUCGCUUUCAACUGA
rnacentral:rRNA from 1 species